GACGGAGGGUGCAAGCGUUGCUCGGAAUUACUGGGCGUAAAGGGCUCGUAGGCGGCCAACUAAGUCGGACGUGAAAUCCCUCGGCUUAACCGGGGAACUGCGUCCGAUACUGGAUGGCUUGAGUUUGGGAGAGGGAUGCGGAAUUCCAGGUGUAGCGGUGAAAUUCGUAGAUAUCGAGAGGAACACCGGUGGCGAAGGCGGCGAUCUGGACGAUGACUGACGCUGAGACGCGAAAGCGUGGGGAGCAAACAGG
rnacentral:rRNA from 1 species